ensembl:lncRNA
UUGUCCCCCCGCCCCGCGGCAGGUUCCUGGACUCGUACCUCAGACACAACGUGUCUUUCUGGGCUCUGACGGCUCAGAACGAGCCCCUCGCGGCGCUGUUCGCCCACCCGCUGUUUCCCACCGUCGCUUUUACGGCGGAACAACAGCGGGAUUUUAUCGCCCUGGACCUGGGGCCGGCGCUGCAGCGCAGCGGACACGGAGCCCGGCUGCUCAUCAUGGACGAUCAGCGCAUCAACCUGCCGGGCUGGGCGCAGGCGGUGCGGGACCAGACACAGGAGACCCCCGGGGGGUCUAUGGGGAAUGGGGGGGGGGGUCUGAUGGAGGGGGAGGGGUCUGGGAGGGGUUUGGGAGGGGACCCCCCCCCGACACCGUGUGUCUGUAUGGGGAUAAGACGGACGGGGCGGCCCUGGAUCCCGGCUGGGUCUGCAGCCCUGCGGCAUCGAGUCUCUGCAUCUCCACGUCCUGAAUCCCUGCAUCCCUGCAGCCUGGGAUCCCUGCAUCCCCUGCAUCCCUGCAUCCCUUCCAGCUCUGCAUCCCUGCAGCCUGGGAUCCCUGCAUCCCCUGUAUCCCCUGCAUCCCUGUGUGCCCUCAAGCUCUGCAGCCCUGCAGCUCCAGGUCCCUGAAUCCCCCCAUCCCUUCCAGCUCUGCAGCCCUGCAGCCUGGGAUCCCUGCAUCCCCUGCAUCCCCUGGGUCCCCACCAGCUCUGCAUCUCUGCACCCCUGCAGCUUUGGAUCCCUGCAGCCCCAAGUCCCUGAAUCCCCCCAUCCCUUCCAGCUCUGCAUCCCUGGGUCACUUCCACCUCUGCAGCCCUGCAGCCCCAGAUCCCUGCAUCAUCUCUGUGUCCUGCAUUCCUGCGUCCCUGUGUGCCCUCAAGCUCUGCAGCCCUGCAGCUCCAGGUCCCUGAAUCCCCCCUGCAUCCCUUCCAGCUCUGCAGCCCUGAGUCGCUUCCACCUCUGCAUCCCUGCAGCCUUGGAUCCCUGCAUCCCCUGUAUCCCCUGCAUCCUGUGUCCCCACCAGCUCUGCAUCCCUGCAGCCCCAGGUCCCUGAAUCCCCCCAUCCCUUCCAGCUCUGCAGCCCUGCAGCCUUGGAUCCCUGCAUCUCUGUGUCCCGAAUCCCUGCAGCCCUGCAGCCUGGGAUCCCUGCAUCCCCUGUAUCCACUGCAUCCCCUGGGUCCCUACCAUCCCUGUAUCCCUGCACCCCUGCAGCUUUGGAUUCCUGCAGCCCUGAAUCCCCCCCCCAGGUCCCUGCAUCUCCGUGUCCUGCAUCCCCCCAUCCCUUCCAGCCCUGCAUCCCUGCAGCUUUGGAUCCCUGCAUCCCUGGGUCCUGUGCAGCUCUGCAUCCCUGCAGCCCCAUAUCCCCGUAUCCAUGUUGGCAAUGCAUCCCUGCAGCCCUUGGUCUCUGCAGCCCUGCAGCUCCAUGCCCCUCUAUCCCCUGCAUCCCUCUGCUCCCCCCAUCCCCUGCAGCAGCGCCGCAUGCAACAGCAGCAUCCCAUGCAGCCAGUGCCGAGGAUGAGGAUGAGGAUGAGGAUGAGGAUGAGGAUGAGGAUGAGGGCACAGCCCCGUCUGUUGGGGGGGGGGGGCCCCCGUCUGCUGUAUGUCCGCCCCACACUUUGCACCUGGGGGCCUCUCAAUAGGAUUUGGGGCUGGGACCCACACGGGACCCCCACCCCACAUAUCCCCUUUGUGUGCCCCCCCCCCACAUGUCCCCUUU